rnacentral:rRNA from 1 species
UACGAAGGGGGAGCUAGCGUUGUUCGGAAUUACUGGGCGUAAAGCGCACGUAGGCGGAUAUUUAAGUCAGGGGUGAAAUCCCGGGGCUCAACCCCGGAACUGCCUUUGAUACUGGGUAUCUCGAGUCCGAGAGAGGUGAGUGGAAUUCCGAGUGUAGAGGUGAAAUUCGUAGAUAUUCGGAGGAACACCAGUGGCGAAGGCGGCUCACUGGCUCGGUACUGACGCUGAGGUGCGAAAGCGUGGGUAGCAAACAGG